UCAGGAUGAACGCUGGCGGCGUGCCUAACACAUGCAAGUCGAACGAGCGAGAGAUGAAACCUAGUGAUUCUCGAGCGAGUGGCGGACGGGUGAGUAACGCGUGGGUAACCUGCCUUACAGAGGGGGAUAACAGUCUGAAAAGACUGCUAAUACCGCAUAAGCACACAGUACCGCAUGGUACAGGGUGAAAAGAUUUAUCACUGUAAGAUGGACCCGCGUCUGAUUAGCCAGUUGGCAGGGUAACGGCCUACCAAAGCGACGAUCAGUAGCCGACCUGAGAGGGUGAUCGGCCACAUUGGGACUGAGACACGGCCCAAACUCCUACGGGAGGCAGCAGUGGGGGAUAUUGCACAAUGGAGGAAACUCUGAUGCAGCGAACCGCCGCGUGAGUGAAGAAGUAUUUCGGUAUGUAAAGCUCUAUCAGCAGGGAAGAUAAUGACAGUACCUGACCAAGAAGCCCCGGCUAACUACGUGCCAGCAGCUGC
rnacentral:rRNA from 1 species